rnacentral:rRNA from 1 species
GAGUUUGAUCCUGGCUCAGAUUGAACGCUGGCGGCAUGCCUUACACAUGCAAGUCGAACGGCAGCACGGGAGCUUGCUCCUGGUGGCGAGUGGCGAACGGGUGAGUAAUGCAUCGGAACGUAUCCUGGAGUGGGGGAUAACGUAGCGAAAGUUACGCUAAUACCGCAUAUUCUGUGAGCAGGAAAGCGGGGGACCUUCGGGCCUCGCGCUCUUGGAGCGGCCGAUGUCGGAUUAGCUAGUUGGUGAGGUAAAGGCUCACCAAGGCGACGAUCCGUAGCAGGUCUGAGAGGAUGAUCUGCCACACUGGAACUGAGACACGGUCCAGACUCCUACGGGAGGCAGCAGUGGGGAAUUUUGGACAAUGGGGGCAACCCUGAUCCAGCCAUGCCGCGUGAGUGAAGAAGGCCCUCGGGUUGUAAAGCUCUUUCGCGAGGGAAGAAAUUGCACCGGACAAUACCUGGUGUAGAUGACGGUACCUUGAUAAGAAGCACCGGCUAACUACGUGCCAG